GUGCAAAAGUAAAACAAUUUUUAAGGUAGCUAUGUGUAUAUAAUGCAAAAAUCUGUGUUUUAUCACCAACCAUAUUUAAAUAAAACUUAAGAAUUGGAUGUGUAUUAGAGGUGGGCUGAUGUGGCUUUCCACUACAGCUCUUAAAUCAGAUUUUUUGUGUGUGAUUUGGUUGGGAUGUUAAUUACAGUUGGUUGGUUGACAUGUUCACAAUUGCAUGAGUUCUCUUGGAAGGCUGGUAGAUUGAGAAUCAUUCUUUACAUUAUUCCUUUUCCCUAAAUGUUACUCUUUUCUUUAGGAUUAUAUUUGCGUUUCCCAGCAGUUUUUUAUACACCACCACUGGAGUAUAGAGGCCCAGUAAUUUGUAAAUAGAGCCCAGUUUUGAUAAUAUAUUCAAUUUUCAUGACGUUUUACUAUUACUGUAUUCUCAUCCACUGAAAUCUGUCCAGUUUUAUAUUGGAGAUAAGGCAGGUUUGGCAGCAAUAGUUUAUAGGGAAAAUCAAAAGAAGAAACUGGGGGCAAUUUGACAUACAGAAUAAUGAAAGUUAUGUCUAUGGCCAUACCACCCUGAAUGCGUCCAAUCUUGUCAAAAUAAUGAAAAUUAUGAUCUCAUACUCAUACUUCCCCUGCUACUAGUGGCAAACUAAGGUUAAACUGUACUUCACUUUUCUACUCCAUUAUACAUGCAAUCCUUUUCAAUAAUUUGAAAGGACUAUAAACUUACUUGCUCUGCUACCUAAUACUAUAUAACUUUACAAGUUUUUUGAGUGAUGUCUCAGGAAAAAUGGGCAAUUAAAGGUUUAUAGUUUAAUGAACGUUUUAGAUCGCAACCAAUUACCUGCUGAAAAUUGGAUUUUACUGAGGUUAAUUUUAAGUUAACCAAGUAUACAUUUAACAGAUAAUCUCAUUUUUAUCUUUUUAAAAUGUUUAAUUUUUUAAAGAGGGGGAAGAGAGCAAGGGAGAGAAAUAUCAAUCUGUUACCUCUUCCACGUGCCCCAGUGGGGGGCUGAACCCUCAACCAGCAACCUUUCUGUUACGGGCUGAUGCUCAACCAACUGAGCCAGGCUGGCCAGGGCCAAUCUUCUCAUUUUUAAAGUCUAAUAUUUGACUUUUUAAAAUUACUUCCCAGUCACUCGGCCUCAUCUUGUUAAUAAUACUCUUCUUUUUGAACAAAAAUUUUAAGACCAUUAAACUUAACUUUGGUAUUUGUGCACUUUCUACCCUAUCUGUUCUUUGUGUCCCAGUUUGAGGGACAUUGGGCAGCAGUUUCAUAAUAGUCUUCAAUAGUGAGGAUAAGACUGCUUAAAAAUAUUUUUUAAAUCAGUUUGUUGUAGACUUAAAACUUCUUUAAAAAUUUGAAUAUAAGAAUGCACAGUCGUUUUGAGGAGGACAUACAUGCCUGUUACAUACCCUAGUGGAUGUUUCCACAAUUGACUAUGGGCUUUUAGAAAAAUUAUUUCCAUAGUAAAAUGCCUUCUGAGUUCACCUCACUUUAAUAUCUCCAACUUUAACAUUUUUAUUUUUUACUUAGAAGCCUUUCCACUGGGAUUUCCUAUUUUGGUAUGGACUCCGGUGCUUCUCUACUGGGCUGCAGUUCUGUUAGGCUAGAUUCUUGAAAAUUAGUCUUUUAGAGACAAUAUUAUAAGACAGGUAAAUUGACUGGUCUGUAUUGGGUUGGGCAGGAAGCAAAGUAGUCCCAUUUAGUUACGAAAGUGUGAUUUGCCUGUUUGAGAAUUUUGUGAACUCUGUUAUAGGUUGUCUCCUGUUAAUUUUUAAGAAAUGGGACUAACCAUGUAAGUGUGUCUUUACCGUGUAGUUCUAAUAUUGCCUGGGUAUGUUGUCAUCUGUACCGCUGCCUUAAUAGAACGAAGUAUUGAGUCUACUAUUGGGAUUUUUGGGCAAAUGUGUAUGUAGGAUGGUUAAUUUUAGCCUUCAAGUGAUACAUGCCACACUUGAAAGCAUUUAAAAAGGAAUAGAAUAACUUUUGUCCUAUUCUGCUUUAAGCUGUGCACCUCAAAUGUGUGCAGGUUUACAAAUGGAGUGAAACAUAACUUCUGUUAGUUCAAAGUUUUAUUUCACUUUAGUUCUGCUUCAACGUUUUAGUAGAUAGGGCACUGAACUGGAUGCUGGAAGCGUGGGAUCUGUUUCUGUUACUUCACUUCCAACAGUGUGGUCACAGGUAACAUAACGUGUUUGUUACUUGGUUUGCUGAUCUCUAUGUGUUGGAAACAACGCUCAUCACAGGAAGAUUGACUACGUAGCUUGCUUUCAUAGCUUGUGUGUAUUUGUCCUGUGUCUUAAUAGUUGAUACUGCCAGUGGUUUAGUCCUGUGGAGUAAAGGUAAGCAUGUUUUAGUUUCUGGAAUAUUAUAUUGUACAUUGCAGAUAGACAUUUAAGACUACUUGGGGGUGGGGUGGGGAGACUCUUAACUACUGGCAGUGUUUGGCCAAUAAUCAAGGUGAUAGCUUUAAGUAUUGGGUGAUGUGUAAACUCCUGCUUACCUAGACUUGAAACUAUCACAAAGCCAAAACAACUAGGAAAAUCCUCCCCUUUGAGUUUUGUGAGGAAAAUGAAAAACUACCAGCAAAUAUACUCCAAAAGUAACCAAUAGACAAUGUCAUGGAUGAAUCUUUUAUAACUUUUCCCUUAUAAUAAUAUAAAGUUUAAACAUGGCAAGAUUCUGAAAUUUAAAAUAAAGGUAAAAAUCAUCUUCUGAAUUUAGUGUUGAUAUCUGAAUUGAUUUCUAAUAGAAAUCUUUAUAGAAUUUGUGAAUGUGUAGUAAUCUCAGUUAACCAGAAUCUUAACCUCUAGGUAGAUGGGAAUUGAUUUUAUAAAGCUGAGAGUUUAUUUUAAAAGUAAAAAUAUAAGAUGUCAUUUCUGUCUUGGAAUGAAAUGAAGAAAAUGGGGAGAUUUGGGGUUGAACACUUAAAAGUUUAUUCAAAAUCUGUCAUAUUUAAUUUAUUAGCUAUUAUAUUUUCAAUUUACAUUUUUUAGUCACUUGGGUUCAUUCUAAAGUACCAAGUAAUGAGAUUUAAUAUAGUAGACUAGAGGAAUUAAUUUUUUAAUGACUUGUUAAAAGUUGAUCCAGCUGUUUUCAAAGGCAUAUUUUACACAGAAUCUAAAAUGAUUGACAUGGGAUACUAUCUAGUUACACAAAGUAAACCCACUGCCUUCCAUUAUAGGUAACUAGUGGCUAUAAAAUAAUCUAUAGUUUAUAAGGAAAAAGUAAUUUAUGUGUUGGUGAGAUUUCAUUAUACUUACUGUCAUUUUAGAGUUUUAAAGGAAUUAAUUACAAUAAGUACCAAAAAAUUUAAAUAAGGGUUAAUAAUGUGUUUGAGUAACAUUACUUACUCUAAAAGGUGACAGUGAUUGGCUUAUCAUGUUACAUACUUGAAAUGUAAAUAACAUUUACAUCCUGUUGUAUUUUUUAAACUGUCAGAACUUGUUAUAAAACCAUGUAUGAAGAUCAUGAUUUGUUCAGAAAUGUUUGAAAGCUACAGAAUUUUUGGGGGGGUGGCAGGAUCCCUAUUCGAAAAUUGGAAGUCUAAUGAUGCUUAUUAUUUUACCUUGAAUAAGGUGUUUCUACAGUAAAGGCUUGUUAGGGGAUAUGUCUUGAAAUAAAACUGUUGGCUUUGGAAUGCUAAACCUUGUGAUCUCAAAAGUACAUGGAAUUAAGUUCCUUGGAUGGGAGGGGAAAAUAUUAAAUCAGAACAUUACCCACCAGCCAGCUCUCUACCAUAUGUAUUACCUUUUAUAUUUUGAAAGUAUUCCUUAUUAACAUUGACGGUGUUAACAUAACCAGAUGAGUCAUCAGGUGAUGUUUGAACUACACUUAAGAGUCUUAGAUAACCUAAUUUUCAGUCUAUGUGUUUUUUAUGUGAGAUAACUUAAAGAUUUCUGGGUUAUGUCUGAAAAUAAUCUUAGGACCCAUUUAUAUAAAAUUCAUCCAGGCCUUUUCCCCUUAAUAUUGGAAACUUCAUAUCAUUCAUGCAGAUUUAAAGUAUACCACUGAGUGAAUGAAAAAGCUUUAUUAAAUUAUACUUAGACUAUGCUGUAUUACUUCUAAAUAAUAAUUUAUUUUUACUGAGCACUUAUUAUAUAUCAUGAUUUUCUGUGCCCUUUUAGUGUAUUGAUUUAAUCCUCACUUGCAGAUAUGAGAUAGGAUCUCAGUCCCUUUUUUUUUUUCCUUUCCUUUCCUUUCCUUUUCUUUCUUUUUUUUUUUUUUUUUUUUACAGAUGUGGAAACAAUCAUAGAAUUUUUUUCCCCCCUUGAGGUCACAGUUAGUAAGCAGUGGAGGUAGGAUUUAAACCUAGGCAGUUCUGGUUUACUGCCUCUAAAUUAAUUUUUUCCAAAGUAUGUCGCACAAAGCAUCCUAAAUUUCUAAAUGAUACUGCAUGGCAUUUAGAUAAGUCACUUGCACUGAGUUAUAUAACUUUAUGCUUGUCAUUUAACAAUGUGUAAAAUCAAUAUUAGUAAAAGCAAGGAGAUUUACAUUGUUGAGGAGGUGUUUUAAAUUGAAUAUGUUGCCUUUGGGUGCUAAACAGCUUAUAGGUAGGAUUUUAAAACUUUAUUAAUAAAGUACUGUAGAUGAAGUCCUGCAUUUUAAUUAAGAUUAUUGAUAUAUUUACAACUAAAAAUCAAAUCUUAAAAGUUCAUUGCAGCAUUAGGAGCCCAUUUUUGUUGCUACUUGAACAAGUCUUACGACGUAGUUUUAACUUGGCAGUAUAGGGAUUUUUUUUUUUUUUAACUAUCUGUACUUCAUUGUAAAGUGUUUGCACAUCUCUGCAGGAGUGACAGCAACUUGGAAGUCAGUCUUUGUAUUCAAGGCAGCAGAGGUAAUCUGGAUGGACAAUAGGUUUGUGCUUUAAGCAAGAUACAAUAAUAUAAACCAUAGAAAAUUUAAAUUGGUAUCAUAUUGCCAUCUCAUAAUUUUGAGGGAGAGCAUGUCAGAGUGCUGAUGUUCUGGUAUAGUUUGUUGUAGCAUAUUUACCUGUCUUACACUCCGUUGUGCAGCAAUUUGCUUUGAUUAGAGCAGAAGUAGUGUAUUUGGGCCUACCAGAUGGUAAUGUGUUUGCCUCAGAAGGGCCACUAAGGCUCUUCCUCAGAGACUGUCUACACAAAGUUUGGAAAGUUUGAGUGCAAAAUGGGAGGGGAGGCAUUUUAGAAAAGCUGCUAAUGAUUAACUUGGCAAAAAUGAAAAGUAACUUAUUAAAAGAGCUAGGAUGAGAUGCAUUAUGUGUAAUAAAUAACUAGUAAAUACUGUAGUAACAAUAUAUUAAAGAUGGCUGAUGCAGUGUCAAAUUAUAAUUACUGUAACUAAGAAGGCAGAAGGGUGAUAUGUUGUAGAAGUAAUCAUUUUAUUUAAAAUAAUUGAAGGUUAAAAAACAAUUGGAGAGAGAUUAGGGAAGGCUACUGAUGCCUUAAGGAAGGUGAAACAUUAGGCUUUCCUUAAAGGUGCGGAAUAGCUGACGUUUACAUAUUUUGCUGUAAUUUUUUGAGAAAUAAUCUUAUGGAAUAUGUAUAAAUUAUAGUUGGCCAGAAUAUUUUAUAUUCUGAAUAAAUAGGAUUUGAUUGAUGAAGAAGGGUAACAUCUUUAGUGACCUUUUAUUUUUAGAGAGAGGGGAAGGGAGGGAGAAAAAGUGGGGAAGAAACAUCAGUGUGUGGCUGUUUCUCACGCACCCUGUACUGGGGACCUGGCCUGCAACCCUGGCAUGUGCCCUGACUUGCCGGGGAAUUGACCCAGCGACCCUUUGGUUCAUAGGCUGCCACUGAAUCCACUGAGCCAUACCAUCCAGGGUAACAACUUCUCUUUAGAGAGCACUUUAUAGGGCUAGUUAAUGAAUUAGUAGGCUUAUCUAGUAUUUAAGGAAAAUGACUUCCUGUGCUGUAUAAAAACAUUUGGGGCUUGUGAAUAAUAAUAGAACAUGCCUCAUUCUUAGUGUUAUAAUUUAUUUCUUUGUAAUUGUUUUCUGUUUCUUAAAAUAAGGACGCUUAACCCAAUAGAAACAUUGCCUUGGUUAAAUAAAAUUAAAACUAGUUCUGUCUCAAAUACAAAAGCCUUAAUUUUAGAAAGCUUAAAACUGAAAGUCAGGAAAACUCUGUUUCUGGUCUGUUCCUCAGUCUCUUCAGGCUGAAAUGAUUUAAAACUUAAAUUAUUGAUGAAAAGUUGCUGUAAUUAACAGAAGUGGUAAUUUAAUAUUUAAAUUUCAGCUUAGUUGAAGUUGUUUUCUGUCCUGGAACUUGCCAUGGAUAACUGAGCAAGAGAUUAUUGCUUUACUAGUCAGCUUUCUUUCUCAUUUUUUAGAGGAUAGUUAUGUUCUCAUCUUGAAAGGGUGAAUUGUUGGUAAUGAACUUUCACACAUGGAGGAAGUACUCUGGAUCUUAGGGUAAAUAAGAUGGUUAAGGUAACUUAAGUGACUAGGAUUGGAUAUUACAAGGUGUAUUAUUUGAAUGAAAGAAAAGUAAUGAAAGAUACCUUAACUUUUUCCCUAUGGAAUUGGAAAUAAAUGUUAACAAUACCUAUAGAACAUGGAUGUUUUUAUGUUCAUUUGAUUAUAAAAAUAUAUAAAUGAUUAAUAAAGGUUACUUAAAGCAUGGAACUUUUAUCAGAGAAGGUCCUGAAAGUUAGGCAUAUAAAUGGCCCAACUCGAGAAUGCAUGUACAAGUUGAAAACCUAACCUGAAGUGGGAAGCACAGUGUAUGCCUAAAGUAAGGCUUAUUUUGCAUUAAAAGUUAACUUGUCAUUAGAAGUAAAAACAAGUCUGUGGGUAAAAUAGUAAGAUCAGUAACACCUCAGUUAAUCUGGCAUCUUAAGGGAGAAGCAGAAGCAAGAUCUUAUUCUAGGGAUAAAAUUGGCUUCUUGUUGCAAGAAUUGGCUUUAGUGGCAAUAUUCUAAAAGCCCACAAGAUGUUGAUGUUUUCUGCUUUCAUUUCUUUUCAGAGCUGGAAGUUAGUACCACAUCCCCAUCCCUACCCACUCCAGUUAUAAGGAGAAAUUAUUGAGCAAGGAUGAUUUUAUUCCCAUGGUGAAAUUUUUAGCCCUCACAUAACAAAUUCUGACAGUUUACCCUUAAAAUAAAAAUCUCCAGUCCUGUCUCUUCAUAAAGGGUAGAAGAUGUAUGUUAAGUUAGCACUUUUUUUGAAGGGGGGCAUAGGGCACAUAUCUAAAAAGGAUCACGGAGUUGCCAGACCUGAGCUUUUUGGCCUUUUGCUGUUCAAAAAAAGAUUUCACCUUAAAUUUUUUUCUUUUUCUUUUUUUUUUGGAGUAUAUAUUUUUGGUCUUAAAGUGUCUUAGUGGUUCCCGUAUACCACCAGUCAUUUUUAGCAUUUUAAAGGUUUAAAUAUUUUAUUGCUGGUUAACUGAGGUUCUACUGUAAAGAAAUCACCUAGGUGAAUUAGUGGAUUGUGCUUCAAUAGGUAAUUCUUUUUGGUCACUGAAUUGUUUACAUGAUUAUUUUGUCUUUAUUACGUACUCUUAGCACAUCAAAAAACUUAGUUAUUACAAGUUAAUUGUGAGACUUAGGAUUUUUCAUUUUAUGUGCCUAAGAGUUUUGUUAAUGAGGAACUGUUAAAAAGAAAGGAGCUUCAGCAUAGACAUGCUGCCACUGUGAUCAGUGGGGACUGCAAAGCUUUUUUACAAGUAUAAUGAAGAUUUGGAAGAGAAAUUUGAAGCUAAAAUUCUGUGUUUUGCUCUUACAAUAUUUAAUUUGUAAUUUGAGAAAGAGUUAAUGUACAGUUUUAUUUACUUUGGGGAUAUAUUUAUCUUUGCCAAGUCAAAAGGCUUAAUCUGCUGCUUUCUCACUAUAUUGUAAUUAUGCAGGUGCAGCA